rnacentral:rRNA from 1 species
GAUGAACGCUGGCGGCGUGCCUAAUACAUGCAAGUCGAGCGAACAGACGAGGAGCUUGCUCCUCUGACGUUAGCGGCGGACGGGUGAGUAACACGUGGAUAACCUACCUAUAAGACUGGGAUAACUUCGGGAAACCGGAGCUAAUACCGGAUAAUAUAUUGAACCGCAUGGUUCAAUAGUGAAAUACGGUUUUGCUGUCACUUAUAGAUGGAUCCGCGCCGCAUUAGCUAGUUGGUAAGGUAACGGCUUACCAAGGCAACGAUGCGUAGCCGACCUGAGAGGGUGAUCAGCCACACUGGAACUGAGACACGGUCCAGAGUCCUACGGGAGGCAGCAGUAGGGAAUCUUCCGCAAUGGGCGAAAGACUGACGGAGCAACGCCGCGUGAGUGAUGAAGGUCUUCGGAUCGUAAAACUCUGUUAUUAGGGAAGAACAAAUGUGUAAGUAACUAUGCACGUCUUGACGGUACCUAAUCAGAAAGCCACGGCUAACUACGUG